rnacentral:ncRNA from 1 species
GAUGGGUAGGGGAGCGUCGUGUGCCGGGUGAAGCAGCCGCGGAAGCGAGUUGUGGACGGUUCACGAGUGAGAAUGCAGGCAUGAGUAGCGAUACAAACGUGAGAAACGUUUGCGCCGAUUGACUAAGGGUUCCUGGGUCAAGCUGAUCUGCCCAGGGUAAGUCGGGACCUAAGGCGAGGCCGACAGGCGUAGUCGAUGGAUAACCGGUUGAUAUUCCGGUACCCGCUGUGAAGCGUCAAACAU